rnacentral:tRNA from 1 species
GAAGGUGGAGCUCCGUGGUAGAGCACAUGCUUAGCAUGCCUGAGGUCCUGGGUUCAAUCCCCAGUCCCUCCA